rnacentral:rRNA from 1 species
CCUACGGGAGGCAGCAGUGGGGAAUCUUGCGCAAUGGGCGAAAGCCUGACGCAGCCAUGCCGCGUGAAUGAUGAAGGUCUUAGGAUUGUAAAAUUCUUUCACCGAGGACGAUAAUGACGGUACUCGGAGAAGAAGCCCCGGCUAACUUCGUGCCAGCAGCCGCGGUAAUACGAAGGGGGCUAGCGUUGCUCGGAAUUACUGGGCGUAAAGGGAGCGUAGGCGGAUAGUUUAGUCAGAGGUGAAAGCCCAGGGCUCAACCUUGGAAUUGCCUUUGAUACUGGCUAUCUUGAGUACGGAAGAGGUAUGUGGAACUCCGAGUGUAGAGGUGAAAUUCGUAGAUAUUCGGAAGAACACCAGUGGCGAAGGCGACAUACUGGUCCGUUACUGACGCUGAGGCUCGAAAGCGUGGGGAGCAAACAGGAUUAGAUACCCUGGUAGUCCACGCUGUAAACGAUGAGUGCUAGUUGUCGGCAUGCAUGCAUGUCGGUGACGCAGCUACGCAUAAGCACUCCGCCGUGGGAGGUACGGUCGCGAAGAAGUUAAAACGUUAAAGGUUAAAGUUAGUUACGGCGUGAGACGUUGCCGACGGACGACGACGAGGGGAGGAGG